CCUACGGGUGGCAGCAGUGAGGAAUAUUGGUCAAUGGACGAGAGUCUGAACCAGCCAAGCAGCGUGAAGGAUGACUGCCCUAUGGGUUGUAAACUUCUUUUAUAAAGGAAUAAAACGAGGCACGCGUGCCUUUCUGCAUGUACUUUAUGAAUAAGGAUCGGCUAACUCCGUGCCAGCAGCCGCGGUAAUACGGAGGAUCCGAGCGUUAUCCGGAUUUAUUGGGUUUAAAGGGUGCGUAGGUGGUCUGUUAAGUCAGUUGUGAAAUUCUGCGGCUCAACCGUAGAAUUGCAUUUGAUACUGGCAGUCUUGAGUGCAGUUGAGGUAGGCGGAAUGCGUGGUGUAGCGGUGAAAUGCUUAGAGAUCAUGAAGAACACCGAUUGCGAAGGCAGCUUACUAAGCUGUGACUGACAUUGAUGCACGAAAGUGUGGGUAUCAAACAGGAUUAGAUACCCGAGUAGUC
rnacentral:rRNA from 1 species